UAUGCUGAUCUACUGGACCACCUGUGAACAAGACCUUGCAGUGUGCAGAGUGGCAGCAGGCCCAUAUGGAACUACAGGAAUUCUGAUCAGCAGAGAAGAUGCCAAGAUGGUGUCUAAAAUUUUAAGUUGGAUUCAAACCAUGAAAGAAGAUAUCAGCCCCAAAGAGCCCUGGAAUAGCCUUCUGAAGGCAUCUGAGGCAACAAUCUGCAAGAAUGGUAUGUCAUCCUUCAGGAUCCAGCAUAUGCAUUAAAUCAGAGAAGUUCAAGUGCUGCUCUGUCCCUAUGGAAGAAUACCUGGUUCCAGGAACAAAAGGGCAUAAGAAGUGGCCACACUUCUCACUUCCAAGAGUCCACUGAGGGCCACUGUGCUUCCUGUUUCUGUGGUUCUGGGUUCUGUGUGGUUGGAAGCACUGUUCUCCAAAGGGAGCACACGCUUUCCAGGGGACAUAGAACUACAUUCUACAGGUCCCAGUCCAUGGAACUACAGGUCCCAGCUGCCACCAGGGCACUUUGCAUUCCAUGUGUCUGAAGACCCAUAGACAAGGAGUCAUCAUCUUGGUGAAGAUAACUAAGCCUGAACGGCAGGGCAUGGCAGGACUGCCUUUAUAUGUAGGGGCAAAGCACACGUGAAACCCAGGGCUUCUUAGAGAAAUAGCUGAUUCCAAGUUUAGGAUAGAAAACACACAAGAGGAACUUAGCAAAUGCCAGACAGCAACCACAAGAGUCAUGGCAAACAACUCAGGAGCCAACUUGAAGGGACUCCCAACGGCCAAGAUGAGACAAUAAAGACAAUAAUUGUCAUGAAACGAAACCCA